AUUGAACGCUGGCGGCAGGCUUAACACAUGCAAGUCGAGCGGAGAUGAGGUGCUUGCACCUUAUCUUAGCGGCGGACGGGUGAGUAAUGCUUAGGAAUCUGCCUAUUAGUGGGGGACAACAUUCCGAAAGGAAUGCUAAUACCGCAUACGCCCUACGGGGGAAAGCAGGGGAUCUUCGGACCUCGCGCUAAUAGAUGAGCCUAAGUCGGAUUAGCUAGUUGGUGGGGUAAAGGCCUACCAAGGCGACGAGCUGUAGCGGGUCUGAGAGGAUGAUCCGCCACACUGGGACUGAGACACGGCCCAGACACCUACGGGAGGCAGCAGUGGGGAAUAUUGGACAAUGGGCGGAAGCCUGAUCCAGCCAUGCCGCGUGUGUGAAGAAGGCCUUUUGGUUGUAAAGCACUUUAAGCGAGGAGGAGGCUACCUGGAUUAAUACUCUAGGAUAGUGGACGUUACUCGCAGAAUAAGCACCGGCUAACUCUGUGCCAGCAGCCGCCGUAAGAC
rnacentral:rRNA from 1 species